rnacentral:rRNA from 1 species
AACUCUCUACAACGGAUAUCUU